rnacentral:tRNA from 1 species
GCCAGUGUGGCAUAGUGGUUUGAGCCUUGGGAUAUGACUCUGGAGACCAGGGUUCAAUUCCCAGUUCAGCCA